rnacentral:rRNA from 1 species
UGAAACGCGCUGCCCGCUUUGAAUUUGUGCCUGUGUCUCGGUAGGGCCAUGUGAAUUGCAGAGUUCAGUGAAUCCUCGAAUUUUUGAACGCACGUUGCGCCGGGUAGUACUCUACCGGGCACGCCUGUUCGUCCGUCA